rnacentral:lncRNA from 1 species
UUAUCCUAUCCUCAUCCUCAUCCAACCUUCAUCCUAUCCUCAUCCUUGUCCUCAUCCACAUCNNNNNNNNNNNNNNNNNNNNNNNNNNNNNNNNNNNNNNNNNNNNNNNNNNNNNNNNNNNNNNNNNNNNNNNNNNNNNNNNNNNNNNNNNNNNNNNNNNNNAACCCUCUUCCUUAUCCUCAUCCACUACCUCAUCCUAUCCUCAUUCUCGUCCUCAUCCACAUCCUAUCCUCAUCCUCAUUCUCCUCCUAAUCCUAUCCUCAUCCUCAUCCUCGUCCUCACCCUAUCGUCAUCCUCCUCCUCGUCCUCAUCCUAUCAUCAUUCUCAUCCUCAUCCUCCUCCUCAUCCUAUCCUCAUCCUCAUCCUCUUCCUCAUCCUCAUCUUCUUCCACAUUCUCAUCCUCAUCCUAUCCUCAUCCUCAUCCUCAGUCUCGUCCUCGUCCUAUCCUCGUCCUCGUCCUCGUCCUAUCCUCAUUCUCAUUCUCAUCCUCAUUCUCAUCCUCAUCCUUUCCUCUUCCUCAUCCUCAUCCUCAUCCUCCUCCUCAUCCUAUCCUCAUCCUCAUCCUCUUCCUCAUCCUCAUCUUCUUCCACAUUCUCAUCCUCAUCCUAUCCUCAUCCUCAUCCUCAGUCUCGUCCUCGUCCUAUCCUCGUCCUCGUCCUCGUCCUAUCCUCAUUCUCAUUCUCAUCCUCAUUCUCAUCCUCAUCCUUUCCUCUUCCUCAUCCUCAUCCUCAUCCUCCUCCUCAUCCUAUCCUCAUCCUCAUCCUCUUCCUCAUCCUCAUCUUCUUCCACAUUCUCAUCCUCAUCCUAUCCUCAUCCUCAUCCUCAGUCUCGUCCUCGUCCUAUCCUCGUCCUCGUCCUCGUCCUAUCCUCAUUCUCAUUCUCAUCCUCAUUCUCAUCCUCAUCCUUUCCUCUUCCUCAUCCUCAUCCUCAUCCUCCUCCUCAUCCUAUCCUCAUCCUCAUCCUCUUCCUCAUCCUCAUCUUCUUCCACAUUCUCAUCCUCAUCCUAUCCUCAUCCUCAUCCUCAGUCUCGUCCUCGUCCUAUCCUCGUCCUCGUCCUCGUCCUAUCCUCAUUCUCAUUCUCAUCCUCAUUCUCAUCCUCAUCCUUUCCUCUUCCUCAUCCUCAUCCUCAUCCUCUUCCACAUUCUCAUCCUCAUCCUAAUCUCCUCCUCGUCCUCAUCCAAUCCUCAUUCUCAUUCUCAUCCUCAUCCUUUCCUCUUCCUCAUCCUCAUCCUCAUCCUCUUCCACAUUCUCAUCCUCAUCCUAAUCUCCUCCUCGUCCUCAUCCAAUCCUCAUUCUCAUUCUCAUCCUCAUCCUUUCCUCUUCCUCAUCCUCAUCCUCAUCCUCUUCCACAUUCUCAUCCUCAUCCUAAUCUCCUCCUCGUCCUCAUCCAAUCCUCAUUCUCAUUCUCAUCCUCAUCCUUUCCUCUUCCUCAUCCUCAUCCUCAUCCUUAUCCUCCUCAUCAUCCACCUCUUAAUCCUAUCCUAAUUCUCAUCCUCCUCCUAUCCUUAUCCUCAUCCUCACCCUCAUCCUCAUCCUCAUCCUCAUCCUCAUCCUCAUCCUCCUCCUCAUCGUCAUCCUAUCCUCAUGCUCAUUCUAUCCUCAUCCUCGUCCUCAUUCUACUCCUCAUCCUAUCCCCGUCCUAAUCCUCAUCCUAUCCUCAUUCUAAUUCUCGUCCGUAUCCUAUUCUCCUCCUUAUCCUCAUCCCUCAUCCUCCUCCUCAUCCUAUCCUCAUUCUCCUCGUCAUCCUAUCCCCAUUCUCAUUCUCCUCCUCAUCCUAUCCUCAUCCUCAUCCUAUCCUUAUUCUCCUCCUCAUCCUCAUCCUCGUCCUCAUCCUAUCCUCAUCCUCAUCCCAUCNNNNNNNNNNNNNNNNNNNNNNNNNNNNNNNNNNNNNNNNNNNNNNNNNNNNNNNNNNNNNNNNNNNNNNNNNNNNNNNNNNNNNNNNNNNNNNNNNNNNUUUAUAUAUUAGAAUACCAUUAAACCUGUGUUGGAAUUUAUUCCACAAAACCUAGAUGGUACUCAAAGAUACUUAAUAAUUAUGUAAUAGUUAAUUGCUUCAAUACCAUUAUACCGACGUUACAGUUUAUUCUAACAAAGCCGAGAUGGAGCAAAGAAGGAAUGACUUAUUUACCUGAUUAUAGAAGAAGUAAGUUGUAAUUGGAAUAUUCUUGAAACCAUUAUACCGGUGUUGGAAUUUAUUUCAACAAAACCGAGAUGACGAACAAAGAAUAAAACCGAGUUCUCUUACUUAAUUAAACAAAAUGAACAUAACGAAAAUGAGAGUACUAAACUUUCAAAAAAUUGGCACUGCUGUUCGGACGAUUUGUUGAGAGGAGAAAACUCCCAAUAAAACACCAAGAAACCGGCUUUCAACAAAUUGGCGUCGUUGCCGGGGAAUUGCUUUAAUAAUAAAACAUUUCAUAUUUAUAUGACAUUAAUCAAAUAAUUGUGCAUAUACUUAUUUUGCUUUCGUACAAAUUAUUUCUUUUUGACUUUGUACAAAAAUGUUAAUUAUUAAAUAUAUAUAUUUUAAUUUCUGCAAAGAUGUACAUUAUGAUUUCUUUACAUACUAAUCUCCUUUCUUUUUGGAAAUAGACAAAAUGAUUCGUUUUGAUCUCAAAUUUUCAGAUAUGGACCAACAUGUUGAUCUGCAACAAGAAGUUGAGCAAUUCAUCAGAGAAUUUCAAUCCAAGCUCAAUAUGGUCCAUCAAAAAAUUCAAGAUCUUCCUGAACAAAUAAAGCAAACCAACAGAGCAAGUUCUUGGUGCAAUAUUUGUGCAUACAAUCAAAAUGUCUAUGCUUUCCAAUCAACUCCCACUUAUCUUGACGAAUUGGAGAAAAUUCUUGACCAAUUCAUACAAACCACUAUCAACCAUCAACAAAACACCAAGGAUGCUCUCAUAAAAAUAGAAGAACAAAUCAAGAGCUUAACAAAAACUUAUCUUGUCAAGUCAGAAUUUUGUGAAAGUGUUACAACUCGAAGUGGAAAGAUAGUUGGUGGAGUUGAAAAACAAAAAGGAAGAUUAGAUGAAAAAAAUAAUAAAGAAGAAAAAGAAAAUAAAAAAGAAGGAAAAGAAAAAGAGACUACUGAGGUAAGAAAAGAAGAAAAUUCAUACUCACUAGUACAAAAAAAAAUACCCUAUCCAAUAGCUCCGUUAAAAGCCAAAAGAGAAGAACAAUUCGCAAGAUUCAUGGAAAUAUUCAAAACUCUGCAAAUCAACAUCCCUUUUGCUAAGGCCUUGGAGAAAAUGCCAAUUUACUCCAAGUUCAUGAAAGAACUGCUAUCCAAAAAACGGAGUUAUCAAGAAAAAGAAAUUGUUUCACUCAAUGCCACUUGUAGUGCGAUUCUUCAAACAAACAUUCCUCACAAAUCUAAAGAUCCAGGCAAUGUGACCAUUCUAGUUACUAUUGGAAAUGUGUCCGUAGGCAAAGCUCUUGUCGAUCUUGGAGCCAACGUAAGCUUGAUGCCACUGUCCAUGAUGAAAAGAAUUGGAGGAAUUCAAUUAAAGCCUACAAGGAUGUCCUUGCAACUAGCAGAUGGAUCCAUAAAAUAUCCUGAAGGAGUUGCAGAGGAUGUUAUGGUCAAAGUGGACAAAUUCUUGAUUCCGGUUGAUUUUGUUGUCAUUGACAGAAUUGAAGAUACGGAGAUCCCGCUCAGUUUAGGGAGACCCUUUAUGAGGACAACAAAAAUGGGGAUCGACAUGGAAAAUGACAAAUUAUUAGUCCGAGUUGCGGACGAUGAAAUCAAAUUUGACAUUUUCCAUACAAUGCAUCAUCCGAAGGAUAAAGGGCAAUGUCUGCAACUAGAUGUUAUUGAAGAAAUUUGUGCAGAGCACCCUCAACUUGACAAAUCCUUGGAGAUACAAGAAUAUAGAGUGGAAGAAGAAAUCAUCCGACAUUUUUAUGAUGAAUUAUUCCUCCACCAAAAUCCAAGUGGACCAGCCGAAAAAGAAUCAGAACUGGAACUGGAGGAAUUGCCAUCCCAUUUGAAAUAUGUUUUCUUAAAUGGGGAAACCAACAAUUUAGUUAUCAUUAAUAGUGAGCUGUCCAAAUUGGAAGAGGAAAAACUUAUACAAAUCUUGAAAAAGCAUCAAGCAACAUUGGGAUGGACCUUAAAAGAUCUCAAAGGCAUCAGUUUAACAUCUCUUAGAGUGCCAUUUUCAACUUGUUCACGGAUGAAAUGGAAAUCCAAGGCAAUGUGCUUCGACCUGGUACUUAUGAGUGGAUUCUUGCUCAUGAAAAUUGCUCCCAUAUUGUCACAUAACAACAAAGGAGGCUGAUGAAAUAGAGCAUGGAGAUCAGUAAUAAGUUGUUUUAUCCACAACAGAUCAACAGCGGUGUAGGCAAGUGAACGAUAUUCUACUUCUGUACUAGAGCGAGCUACGACGCAUUGUUUUCGAGAAGGCCAACUGAUAAGAUUGGAACCAUGGAAAAUGGCAUAACCAUACGAAGACUUGUUGUCAUCUUUGUCAGAAAUCCAACCUGCAUCAGAGUAAGCAAGAAGGGAUGUGGCCUUUGUAGGAGUAAAAUGAAGGCAGUAAUGUAAAUUGCCUUUUAAAUACCACAUAAUUCUUUUGGUGGCUUGCCAAUGGAGAGUAGUUGGUGAGUUCAUAAACUGACAGACUUGGUUCACUGCAUAGGCAAUGUCUGGACGGGUGAUGGUAACAUAUUGAAGAGAACCCACAAUCUGACAAAAGAGAGUUGGAUCAUGGAAGGGAUCCCCUUGACGAGUGAGCCUGGAAUUAGGGUCAGCGGGUGUGGAAAUGGCAGAGGCUUCAGUCAUUUUGUUACAGCGAAGAACAUCCUAAAUGUAGUGUUGUUGUGAGAGUGUGUUACCCCGUAGAAGACAUGCUGAUUUGAAAGCCCAAGAAAUAAUGUAAAUUGCCUAGAUCUUUGAGUGCAAACACCUUAUGUAAUUGAGUAGUGAAGUGCUGAAUGUGAGAUGCAUUGGUAUCUGUUAUGAUUAAAUCCUCCACAUAUAUAAGAAUGUAAAUGAUGGAGAAGGAAGAGAUGUGAAUAAACAAGGAGUUGUCUGAUUGACAGGUUCGAAAUCCAUGAGUAACAAGAUAAUGCUUGAGCUUAUUGAACCCUGCACGAGGUGCCUGUUUGAGACCAUAAAUUGCCUUAUGAAGACGACAUACAUGGGAAGGACGAGAAGGAUCUUGAAAGCCUGGUGGUUGUUUCAUGUAUACCUUUUCUGAUAAGUCACCAUUGAGGAAAGCAUUGUUGAUAUCAAGUUGUCGAAUACACCAACCAUUAGAAUGAGCAAUUUAAAGUACCAACCGAAUUGUAGUGGGUUUAAUAACCGGACUGAAUGUAUCAAAAAAUCAAUACUCGCCUGUUGAUUGAAUCCUUGUGCCACCAAACGAGCUUUGUGACGCUCAAUCAAAUCAUCUGAGUUCCUUUUAAUCCUGAAAAUCCACUUACAACCGACAAUAUUAACAUUAGUAGGACAAGGAACAAUAGACCAUGUGUUAUUUCGCAUGAGAGCAUCAUAUUCACUUUUCAUUGCUUGCUGCGAGGAAGUAUGUUUGACAGCUUGGGUAUAGUUGUGAGGUUCAGUGGCAUAAGGGGAGAAUUUGAUUUUAAAAAGUUUGGGUUUCAAGGAAUUAGUUUGAGCUCUAGUGAGCAUAGAGUGGGUUUUAUUUGGUGCAGGCCGAUAAUAGGAGGUGUUGGGUUGGUUUUGUUUGGCACAUGAGCUUAUGGUGGAUUGUUGAUAUAGAGGACUACUGGAAGGAGUGGGUUUCAUGUGGAGGGGAUGAUGGGACAUGUGGGUAUGAAAGUGGCAAUAUAGCAGCAUGUUGAAGGAGUUGCAGUGAACUUACUAGUGGUGCUGACAUGGGUGAAGGAACCAUGGUGGAGGACAUGGAAGCAUAUGGAAAGAGUUCCUCAUUAAAAACAACAUGACGGGAAACAUAUAUUCGGGAAGACGGUUUGUGAAAGCAAAGAUAACCUUUAUGUGUGACACUGUAGCCAAUAAAGACACAUGGAUGAGACCGAAAAUUGAUUUUAUGUUUGUUGUAUGGUCAUAAGAAAGGGUAGCAAACACAACCAAAAGUUUUGAGAAAAUUAUAAUAUGGAAUUUGGUGAUAAUUUUUGGUACGGAGAUUGAAAAUGGAGUAGAGAGGUGAUGGUACGAUUGUGAAGAUAUGUUGUACUUUUGAAAGCAUGUUCAAAAUACUUAGGAAGAGAGGAUUGAGCUAAGAGUUUAGGAACAAUAAACACACUAGGCAAGCAAAGAUUAGGCAGUGAACAUGAACCCACAUGAGAAAUAGACAGAUGGUUACCAUUUCCUACUUGUAGCUUGUCAUCUCCAGUGUAGUCAUCGACAAUUGUGAGUUUCUGAAGAUCUAGAGUGACAUAAUUGGUGGCAUCGGUGUCGAAGUACCAGGAUGGGUCCAUAACAGUGGAAGAACUUCCUGAUUGUGCUAUAUGAGCCUGGCGUUGUGGAACUCUUGGAUUUGAACGAUGAGAAGGGAAAUCAGUGUGAUUUGCUUGCUGCCAACAAUCGAUUGCCUCAUGUCCUGGUUUACUACACAAUUGACAUGUGGGACGAUGACGACAAUUGUCACUGUUGCGAGUGGUGAAAGAGUCAAGACCUUUGUAAGUUUUGGAGAGGGACUGGUUAGAGAACCGAUUUGUAGUGAAAGCAUAUGAGCUAGAGAGAAGUGAGGUUGAGGUGUUGGUGUGUGGUACGACAAUAACAUGGCGAGUGUGUUCCUGUUCGAGGCGAGCCUCCUCUUGUAGAAGGAGACCAGCCAUAUCAUCAUCUGAUACGUCUUCAGAUUUCAUCAUGAAGGCAGUAGAAAAAGCACCAUUGGAGGAAUCAAGACCACUCAAUAUGUAGCCAACUAGAUCUUCAUCGGAGAUGGGAUGAAGAUUUCUCGCAAGAGAGUCAGCAAUGCAGCGUUUACGCUUAAUAUAAUUCAGCAUAGAAAGAGACCCUUUUGUCAAAGUCUAUAAUUGAACCUUCAUAGCCAUAUGAUGAGCUCUGGUGUGAGCUUGGAACGUAUUUUCAAUGGCAGUCCAAGCCAUGUGAGAGGAUGUGGCACGAACGACCAAGGAAAGUGCUUGCUCAGAGAGGAUGGAUUUAAUCCACAAUAGAACAAAGCGAUCAUGCUAUUUCCAAACACAAAUUUAGGGUUUGGUUCGGUGGUUGCAGAACCGUCUUGGUCAGCGACAAGAUGAGUUUCUCGUGGUGGAGAAGGAUGUAGAAUGAAAGUCUCAAGAUCGAAGGUCUCAAGAGUAGAGACAAUGGUAGAUCGCCAUAAAGAGUAAUUUUCUCGUUCAAGUUUAAUAUUGAUGGACGGUAUUUGUAGAUUCAGAUUGGGAUGUGUGGUGUUGGCAAGGGCCAAAAGGGAUUGAUUGGUAUUGGCCAUGAAAAAAUAGUUGAAGUUCCAAAGUGGCGAAGAAAAAAAAAUAUGUGGCUUUGGAUACCAUAUAGAGGAAUGAACAUUUGUGUAUAUAUUUACUGAGUUUGAGUAGUUGUUUUACAAAGAUAUUUAUACAGCAAAAGUAAAAAUAACUAUAAGGGAGAGGAGGCCUAAAUACACAGUACCCACUCAACUACAUACAAAGGAGUGGGAAAGAAAUAGUCAAAAAGUGCCUAGAAUUUAGGAAUGAAUAUCUAUAGUUGUUAAAAAUUGAAGUUUUAGACUAAUCUCUUUCAAGAAUUACAUUCAGAUUAUCAAUGUGGAAUUUGUCUAUAUCAAUAAAGUCUUUUCCAUGCAUUCGACACAAACAAAACUCCAACAUCACGUAUAAAGAACUCAUAUAUCUACGACUCAUAUUCAAAUAGAUCAAGUCUUUUCCUUAGAAAAAAACAAUACAAAUUAUAGGUUUGGGUAGGGCUGACAAUGAACCGAACCAAUUUGGUAUUCGUUUGAAACUCGAUUUAUUACUUAGCUCGAUAAACUUGGUUCAUGAACCAAAUGAGCCGAACUUGAGCUAGAAAUUUAGCUCAUUAAAUAAACGAGCCGAAAUUGAGUUUGAUACAGUUCGACUCGUUAGGUUCAUGAGUUGGCUCGAUAUANNNNNNNNNNNNNNNNNNNNNNNNNNNNNNNNNNNNNNNNNNNNNNNNNNNNNNNNNNNNNNNNNNNNNNNNNNNNNNNNNNNNNNNNNNNNNNNNNNNNCUCAUCCUUGUCCUCAUGCUAUCCUCAUCCUCAUCCUCUUCCUCAUCCUAUUCUCCUCCUCACUCUCGUCCUCAUCCUCUUCCUCAUCCUCAUCCUCCUCCUCGUCCUAGGCUUAUCCUCAUCCACAUUCUCAUCCUCAUCCUAUACUCAACCUCAUUCUCGUCCUAAUCUUGUCCUCAUCCUAAUCCUCAUCCUCGUCGUCAUCCUAUCCUCAAUCUCGUCCUCAUCCUAUCCUCAUCCUCUUCCUCAUCCACCUCCUAUCCUCAACCUCAUCUUAUCCUCAUUCUCGUCCUCAUCCUUAUCCUCAUCCUCAUCCUCAUCCUCGUCCUAUCCUCAUUCUCAUCCUCUUCCUAUUCUCCUCCUAUCCUAAUCCUCAUCCUCAACCUAUCCUAAUCCUUCUCCUCAUCCUCAUCCUCAUCCUCAUUCUUAUCCUCAUCCUCAUCCUAUUUCUCAUCCUUAUCCUUAUCCUCAUCCUCUUGGUCAUCCUCAUCCUCAUCCUAUCCUCAUUCUCAUCCUCUUGCUAUCCUAUCCACAUCCUCAUCCUCGUCCUCAUCCUAUUCUCCUCCUAUCUUAAUCCUCAUCCUCAACCUAUCCUAAUCCUUAUCCUCAUCCUCAUCCUCAUCCUCAUUCUUAUCCUCAUUCUAUAUUCAUCCUCUUCCUAUCGUCAUCUUCGUCCUCUUCCUAUCCUCAUCCUCAUCCUCCUCCUAUCCUAAUCCUCNNNNNNNNNNNNNNNNNNNNNNNNNNNNNNNNNNNNNNNNNNNNNNNNNNNNNNNNNNNNNNNNNNNNNNNNNNNNNNNNNNNNNNNNNNNNNNNNNNNNGCAAAUCAUUGUUUUGAUCAUUUUCAUGAACUUUAAGUUGUGAUGGUGAAUUGCUCGUUGAUAUGUGUCAUCCUCUCUCGAGCUCCGACACGUGUACUCAAUUGAAGUGCACAUACUCUCGUGGUAUUGUUAUCAAUAAAAUCAUUUACUUGGAUCUUUAUAUCAAAUCGCUUCGUAACAACCCAAGGUGAAUUCCAUAAACCCUCGAGAAUCCUAAUAUCACUCUUGUGAAUUAGGAUUCUAGUUUGAAUAACUGAACAGUUAAAUAGUUUGAUUCACCUAUCGGUCCUUCCCCAAUGUAUCUAAGAGGUGUAAUUUGUUGGCCANNNNNNNNNNNNNNNNNNNNNNNNNNNNNNNNNNNNNNNNNNNNNNNNNNNNNNNNNNNNNNNNNNNNNNNNNNNNNNNNNNNNNNNNNNNNNNNNNNNNAAACUUACAAAUGUUUCCCAAAAUACUUAGAAUUUGUAGACAUCUGAUUGAAACAUUGAAAUUCUCUUAAUAUGUCUUACUUUAUCAUAUUAUUGUUUUUCAAUCAACCCUUCUUUUUAAAAUAUACAUUUUCAAUCAUUUCUCCUUUAAUAUACUUUGUAUUAUUUUUUUAUUCAUUUUUAUUAUUAUUUUCUAAAAGAAAAAUGAUGAUUUUUCCUUUUCACAUUUUUAUGGAUUUUUUCACUAUACAUGGCCUUUGUAUCUUUCUCAUUGCUUCAACGAAACAUCACAAAUUACCACAAACCCUCAUUUGAGUAGAUAUGAAAAAUCAUUAAAGUUCAGUAUAUACUUUUAUCCUUAGAGUUCAGUAAAGUUCAAGACAAAUAGAGUCUAAGUCUUCAAUAUAUACUUUUAUCUUUUACACUCUAGUAUGUUUAGUGAAUAAUGUUCAAGUGGAAAAUAAAUUUAUUUUGAAAUGAAAUUGGAAAACUCUUAGACAAUGUAAGGAAUUUUCAAAAUACUACGUAACAAGUUACUUGACCUGAGUAACAAGUUACUAGAACUAGGUAACAUGUUACUUCAACUAUGCAACAGUGAGUAACAGGUUAUAGAGACUGUGUAAAAGGUUACAUAACUGAGUAAAAAGUUAACCAGUACCUUUUCAAUCAUUUCUCCUUUAAUAUACUUUGUAUUAUUUUUUUUCAUUUUUUUAUUCAUUGUUAUUAUUAUUUUCUAAAAGAAAAAUGAUGAUUUUUUCCUUUUCACAUUUUUAUGGUUUUUUUCACUAUACAUGGCCUUUGUAUCUUUCUCAUUGCUUCAACCAAACAUCACAAAUUACCACAAACCCUCAUUUGAGUAGAUAUGAAAAAUCAUUAAAGUUCAGUAUAUACUUUUAUCCUUAGAGUUCAGUAAAGUUCAAGACAAAUAGAGUCUAAGUCUUCAAUAUAUACUUUUAUCCUUUACACUCUAGUAUGUUUAGUGAACAAUGUUCAAGUGGAAAAUAAAUUUAUUUUGAAAUGAAAUUGGAAAACUCUUAGACAAUGUAAGGAAUUUUCAAAAUACUACGUAACAAGUUACUUGACCUGAGUAACAAGUUACUAGAACUAGGUAACAUGUUACUUCAACUAUGCAACAGUGAGUAACAGGUUAUAGAGACUGUGUAAAAGGUUACAUAACUGAGUAAAAAGUUAACCAGCAAAUUUAACAUAGUGUAACUGAUUAUUCGUCAAACAGAGAGUUUGGGUCAAUUACAUUACGAUGUAACCGAUUACACAAAGGUGCUAAUAUAACCAUAAUUUCAAAUCCAAAUUGAACAAAUUUCAUCCAAAUUCAAUGAGUUUUUUCCAAUCGUGUCCUAACUUCGUGGAAGAGUAAAUUGGCUUAUUGAAAGCAUAUUUAAAGACAUUAAAAUACUCAUUUCGAAAUGAUUGAGAUACACGAAAUUUUCACAUAGAAUUUAUGCAACUUUUUAUUCUAAACUUUCACUUUUUCUAAAGUUGAUUUAAUUGGAAGUUCUAAAGUUUUUAAAACUUAAACACUUCCAAGAGCAAUUGUAUAAUAAGUAUAUUGAGAGCAAAAUGAUUGAAUGUUAUAGAAUUGUUAUUUUAUCUUGUAAAUGCAUUCUUGCCCUAGAAUUUAUUCUUCAAAUCUUGUUGAAAAACAUGUCAUCACAAGAGUGUGGUGAGAAGGGGAAAGAGAGUAGUUAGAAAGGUUGUUUCCCAAGGUUGUAAUGUAUUUCUGAGUGAGCAAGGUGCAAGGAGUCUCGGAGAGAAAAAUUGUAAUUACAACUCAAAAUAUCUAAGAAAGAAAUCUUUUGUGCUGCAAGAAUACUGAACAUAGCUUACAGUAGACAAGAAGGUGAACCAAUACAAAUAUCGAUGUUUUAUCUCUCUUCUCUCUACUAUUUCUAUUUCUUUUUGAAGUUUUAUUUGAUAAUCAUUCUACAACAUUUCCGCUGCAUCACACUCUGAUAUUUUCAACAGAAAAAUUGACUAUUACCCCCAACAAUUAAUUUACUCACUCUUCUUACUUGUCAUCUAAUACUUACAAAAAUAUAUUUUUUACAUGCAUUUCAUUUCUCUUCACCACUUUUCUACAUAUUGAACAAUCGAUUAAGUUAAAAUGUUAUUAUUUGUAUAUUUUCAUUCUAGGAAAUAGAAUUAGAAAAAAUUAACUUUAUCCAUAUUCACUAAAAUGCAUAUCAUGGUGCAAUGUAUACAUGAUCUUCAUCUUCAUAGUCUUGAUUGAUAUUUAAUUACUUAUUUUUUAAAAUUACAUUAGGUUACAGUUUAUCGUGAUAUUUUCUAAAUAUGAUUACAUUAUUUUUACCUGCUUAGUUAUAAUUAUUAAAUAAUUUAGAUCCUAAGAAAUAAAUUAUAAUCAACUAGAAAACAAAUUUUCACUCUCCAUAAUAGAAAAAUAAUUAAUAUUAAUUAAUGGUUGAAAUUGAUAUUAUAUUUUCAACCAUAAUUUAGACAAUAUAAUGUAUUAUAAGGGCUCAUAAUUUAAUUUCAAAUAAUUAUUCUAAUUUAAUUUAAUUUCAAAUUGUUAAUUUAAAAUUUAGGCUGAUGUUAUUACGUUACAUUAUUAUAUAUUGCUAAAUUUAUGGUGUCAUUAUGUAUAAUUUAACUUUUUACGUUACUAUUUUAAUUCUUAUUAAAGUCGUGCAAUGUAUGUUACAUUGCUUACUACAUGUAUUAAUUUAAUUUAUUGCAUAUUGUCAUUUAAGAAAUCUUCAGUUUUGUACCAAUUUGAAAAGGAAAAUCAUUUUAAAAAUGAGAAUUAAUUUUUUUAAUUAUCAGUCGAUAUUAUAGAAUAAUUUGAAAUAUAAUAUUAAUUUGAAAAUCUAAACAAUGCUUUACUAGUGCAGAUUCAUAUAUUGUAAUUUUAUGUAAUUAUAUAUAUUAAAUUUCAACUCAUUUCAUAUCAGAUAAAUCUUAAUACAUUUUUUGUAUCCGUUAGUGGCAAAUCCUAUUGUUUUUCAUUCUUGAUUUUUAUAUUUAUUGCAUAAUUAUCUCAUCAUAUAAAUGAGACAUCCAUGUGUAUUUAUUAUUUAUGAUUUUAGAUAUAAUAGUUGUUGUGUUCAUUUUGAGAUAUAAUUGACGAGAUUCAAAAAUUACGUUUGGAGAUGGGUAAUGUUUAUUAAUUUUAUUUAAAAUUAUAUUAUAUUUACACAUAUUUUAUUAAUUGAAUUAAUUUUAUUCACAUAUUUUUUCUCUUUCUUUUUGUCUUCCAUCUCAGGAGUACAUAUUCUUUUCUCACAAUUUAUGUUACUCGAUGUGCUAUCGGUUGUGAUGGUUAGAAAAACAAUUAAUAAUUAAACUUUUAACUUAAAUUUAUUUUUUCAACCAAUCACAACUUAUGAUAUAUAUAGUUAUACAAAAUGUGGGACACCAGAGCUGCUCCCUUCUAUCUCUUACAUUCUCAAAUCUCUUUCUCCAAUUUCAUCAAAUUUCAUACUCAACUUCUUUGAACCUUCUCACGGGUAAGACUUUUUUAACAUUUUUUUCUCCUUUCAGUCACUUAUUUUACUCUUUGUCACAAGUUAACAUUUUGUCUAUCUUCCUUACAUUUAUUUCUCAAUAUUGAAUUUCUUAUAACAUGAAUAACUCAAGACUAAUACAUUUCUAAUAUAUUCUUUCUUUCUUUAGCCACUCGUUUUACUUUGUAACAAGUUAACAUUUUGUCUACGUUCCUUACGACUUCUCCAUAUUUAAUUUCUCAUAGAUAAUUUUUUCUUCUCACAUAACUUCUCUAUGUUUAAGUUUUCACAAGUAAAUUUUUCAUUCCACACAAUUUCUCAUUGUUAUUGAUAAGGAAAUUCAAUAGAAAAAAUGUUGGCUAUAUUAUUCAAUUUUAUUAUUUCAAGCUAUUCGAUAUGAGUUAUUUUAUGAUUUUAUAUUAUGUUAAUUUGGCUUCGAUAGAAUUAAUGUGGAAUGCGUUUUUAGAACUAAUUGUGUGUACAUUUUUUAUGAGUAAAUUACACUGACACCCCUUAAGUUUUAGCAAAAUUGCACAAAUCACCCCUCAAUUUUCUACACCUACACAAACCCCCUAAUUUUUAUACUUUUAUUACACGGAUCACCCCUGCAUGAGAAAUAAAUGUAAUCUUUUAAAUAAAAAAUGGGAUAAAUGUAACUAAGUUAAACAAAAAUGAUAUAUUGUGGAGAUAAGUCCAAAUAAUAUAUGAGUCGAUACCUCAUUAUUAUUUUUGGUUCUUUACGAUAUAAUAUAAGAGCAAUUUAAACAGUAUCUCUUUAGAAUUGUUGAUGCAUUUUGUAAUAAAAAAUAAUAUAGAUACAUCGAUUUGUAUAUUAUUUGAAUUUUUCCUCAUAGUAUACGAUGUUUUGUUUAACUUAAUUGCAUUUAUCAUAUUUUAUUUAAAAAAUUACACUUAUUUCUCAUGCAGGGGUAGUCAGUAUAAUGAAGGUAUAAAACUAUAAGAAGUUUGUGUAGGUGUAAAAAAGUGAUGGGUGGUUUGUGUAAUUUUACUAAAACUCAGAAGUUAUUAGUGUAAUUAACUCUUUUUUAUCUCUUUCCCUCUCCCGGAGUCAUCUACUUUUGCCAUUUGUCAAGCAGUCAUUGACCAAGACCGCAUCCCAAGUGGUAGUUUAAGACUGGAUAGUGAUUUCUCCAAAAAAAAGUAGCCGCCAACAAAGACCUCAUGGUACCAAUUUUCAAGAGAAUGUUUCUAAUGUUGUUCUUGGUCACCAGGAAAUGGACCAACACAGUAACUUCCUUUUUCUUAUAAUAUGUGCUGCCCUUGGUCACCAAGCAAAUGAACCAACAUUGUAACUUCCUUUUCUUAUCAUAUAUGGCAUAUAAAUAAAUCACCUUACCUCAAUUUCAUUCAUUUACAACACUACCCAUUACAUUUAUAUCCUCAAAGCUGUUUUGUUUACUUUGUGAAAUCCAACUAAAAAUUAAAACUAUUAUUGUACCUCACGCAUAUUGCAACUUAGCUAGUGAGAAUCACUUACUCUUGUUGAAGCCAAGGAAGAAAUAAUAUGACUCUGAUCUCAACCUUCUUAAAUUGUUUUCUUCUCUCUAACCUUGAUCUGGUCCAUCAUGUUAGAUGGGCUUGGCUUGAUGGAAUUAUUUCAUUUCGUGCUAGUUAGGUUGACCAUGUUGUUGUUAAAUAGUGAUUUAAAUUAUAUUUUGUAAUUUUGUAGUUUUGGUUUUAGGAGUCUUCAUAAACGCAUUGUGACAAUAAUUGUGAUCACAUCAGUUACAAAUUUAUGCAAUUGCGAUAAAUUGCUAACCGUAAAAUCAUUUAUUAAAUUGUUGAAUCGGUUGUCACAAAUAAGUAUAAAGAGUUACCGUAUCCACAACGACUUGAGCGAUAUUAAGUCGUUUAACUCAAACUGAUAUUGUAAGUAUAGAAAUUUUUUAGACAAAGCUUUCACUAUCAAACUAACGUUAAACAAUUGAGAAACUUGUGAGAUGAAAGUUUUGGGAUUAUAUUUUACUAUUCAACUAUGCAUGUACAAUUGAUUCAACAACACAGACUAAUCGAACUAUGAUUCUUUCACCAACAAAGUUUAGUCCCCAAUGACUAGAUUAAUAACUCAAAAUUACUAAUCACUAAUUUCUUAAAUGACUAAAGCUAAUCAAUAUAGCUCUAUUUUCCUAACAAUUAUACUCAAAAAAUGAAGAUUAAUGAUUUAUCAAAAUAGCUCUAUUCCUAGCAAUCACAAAAUUGAGAAUUAUGAGUUAUCAAUGUAGCUCUAUUCCUAGCAACUAUAUUUACAACAUGAAUAAUGUGACUUGUUAAUAUAAAUCUAUUCCUAGCAGAUAUACCAUGAACUAUUUUAUUUCAAGUUAUAGAGCAUGAAUUCCUUCACACAUUCAUAACCUAAAUAACAUACUAACAGAAUGUCAAUCUCAAGCAAGCAUUAAGCAUAAAAACAACUCAUAAGAAUCAAAAGUGUGAAAAUUAAACAUAAAUAUAAAUCAAAGUGUAUAUGUCAAGUAAAUAUUACAUCUAAUACCAACAAGGAAAAACAUUAGUUAAUGGUUCCUAGAUAAAAGGGUUGAAUAAGAUGAAUGAUGCUCUUGAGAGAAGAAUUGGGCUCCUCCAAGAUCAUAAAUUGAUCUGAGAUCAUAAACUGAAUGAAAAAGUAAUACCCCUAGUGUAGGGGUGACAAUUUGAUGGAUUUGGAUGGAUGUGAAUUAUAAUGGAUGAAUGGAAAGUCAUCCAACAAUUCAUAUAAAUCCAUAAAAUCACAUUUCUAAACUAUCAAAUCCAUCCAUAUUUAAUGGAUUUCAAUCCACCCAUUUUAUCCAUAUAUCCAUUUUAAUGGAUUAGAUGGAUGAAUAUCCAACCCAUUUCUUUAAAUUUGAACUAAAACAUUUUUUGAAGGACAAAAAUCCUUUUAAAAUUUAUUAUUUAAUAAAUCAUUUUUGAAAAUCAAUUUAAAAACAUUUUUAAAAUGUGUUUUUUAAAAAACACUUUGAAAAAAAUAUCAGUAUUUAAAUUUACUUGUGAAAGCUCUGAAAGACAACACUGUAAGUGAGAUCAAAGAUACUGUAUUGUGCAAUCAAACAUUUUUUCUUGUGCUCAAUCAUGACACAAAAUGUUAUAUUAAUCCUUAUUGAAACUUUUUGAAAGAAUAUUUUGAUAACAAAGAAUAAUAUCAUUGAAGGAAUCCUUUUGUUAGGAAUAGAGUAGUUUAUAUCACUCGUAUCAAAAUCAGUUCAUGUCGGCCGGUUCAACCGGUACACUGGUGAAUCAGUCUUAAUACCGCUACGAUACAACAUUUAUAAUGGUCAUGGAAUUAUACUGGUAAAAAUCAGUCAUUCAUUUCAAUUGAACCGUACCGGCCAUACCGGCUGGUUUCAUUUAAAAUUAUUUAUGAAAUGAAAAUGAUUUACUUUUACCAAAAUAUUUGUACGGAUGAUCAACCACACAACUACUAUAUUUUUUAUACAUCUAAAACAUGGUCUACAAUAUAUAUUUUUUAACAAGUGGUAUAAAUAAAAAUAGAAAUUGAUUUUUCAACAUUAAUAUUAGUAAUUGAGCGAGAAAUGUUGAGUUCAUUGUCUUCAUAUCACUCAACGAGAGUCUUCAAUUUUGUGCUUGUUGAGCGAGACCCUUGUUUUUUUGCUGAGAAUGUUGACUUCUUCACCUUUUCCCCAUGGAAUGAAAUGCAAAUGCACUUUUAAGGAUAAAAUUUGAUAAAUUUCACAAUAUAUGAUUUUAAACAUCAUAAAAGUGUCUAAAAUCAAUGUUAUAUAGGUAAAAUUGGCACACAUCGUAAAUGUAAUAUGACCAUAAUUUAAAACACUAUUGUCAGUACCAACCAUACAACACUCCAUAGCUUUUGCAUUUUUUGUUGUUGACUAGCCCAAUAUGCAAAAAGAAGUGAUUUUUGCAUAUACAGAAAAAACACUCAAAACCCAUCCAAUUGUAAUAUAAUUACAACCACAACAAGUUUUGGAUAUGAGACAUCACCUUUUGGCUAUAUGAUUGAAGAUACUAGUUUAGAUGUAUGGUACUCAGUUCUAUAUGAUUUAUCAUUUUUCCGUUAUUAUUAUAAGAUUUCUUUUAUAAAGAAAUUAUACAUGGUACGAGAUAGACCAAACCCGAUAAGUAUAUAUGCAAAAUAAAAAAAAACAUAUAACUAUGUUUAAAAGAAUACCACAAUUCCAUGACAAUAAUUAAUGUGGAACUUAACUCAGUUAUACUUUCCUAACUUGAUAUGUGUACUUUAUAACGAUGGAUAUAGUUAAAUGUGAGUCUGAAACAGAAAUUUUGGUACAUGUUUGAUUAAGUAAUUAUUUCAUAAGUGUGAGAAUGAGAAUCAAAGAGUCCAAUUCAAUUAUGUUGUAAAAACUUAGAUUUUAAUGACAUAAUUUAUUUAAAGAUGACGAAUACUAUCAUCAUAUAAUAAAAAUCUUUCAUGUCAAAUCAUCAAAAAGAAAUAUAGAGCAAAAAUAUACCAUAAUCUAUUCAUAGAGAAUAUGUUGAAUGAACUUAUACAUCUUUUAUCUUGUAUCUAAUUUCAUAUGCAGGGUACAACAUGUAAAAAAUUUAGGGACUUUUUGCGAGUAUCAUUUUGAAAGGGAAUAAAUGGUAAUGAAGGACUUCAUAAUCCUUUCACAAGUGUAUUUCAUGGCUCUCAAAUCUUUCAUUUCCCUUUUCCCCUCCAAAACUCAACCCAUAAACGAACCCUUAGUAUUCCAAGUUAUUAUACACAAAUAUCCUUAAUGAUUAGAAUGACUCUUAUUUCUAAUAAAUAGAUUUUAGAAUAGGAAAUGAAUUGAUGGAUCAGUUCAUUUGACUUGGGGACUAUAACCCUUAUUUAUAAGAAUUGCAUGAUCUUUUAUAAGGGGGUGACCCUUUAGAUUCACAUUAUUUCAUGAAGAGUAAUCUCCUUUGAAUUGAAACUGCUUCAUGAAAAGUAAUGCUCCUUAAUUUUCUUAUUUAUAAUUUCAAAUCACUCUAAUUUGGCUAUUUAAAACAAUGGUUGGAAAAUUUAGAGCCAAUUUCUCUCCUUCGUGUGAUGUAAAAUGGGGACUUACGGAAACGACAAGUGAAUAAAUAAAAUAGAUAAGUUGAAGAAUGACACUAAGAAUUUUUAACAUGGAAAAACCUCCUCAAAUUGAAAAGUAAACAACCACGAGACCUAGUCAAGAAAAGUCUCCAGUAUAUAAAGUAUGAUUACACUAUAUGAUCAUCUUUAUGUAUAAGAACAUAACAUUCAAUCUCACCCAAGAAUAGUGGAAUAUAAAUUAUAAAAAUAUCCAUCAAGGAAAAAGUCCAAAAUCUAUUUAACCUUUUAAUUAACUUUUGUCACAAGUGCUUCAGCUAUUUGAUAUGUUGGCACCAUUAAACUUUGAUUUUAUAUGCCUAUCAAAAAUUAGUUAAAGCAAAUAUGCCGCAUAUAUAAAACCCUUCUAACAUAUUUUAAAAAGAACAAUGUUAAUUAUACCAUUAAAUUCUACAUAAAAAGAAGCACUCACCAUUAAAAAGGGUUUCAAAAUUUCUUGAUUUAUAUUGUUUUUCUUUUCCUUAAUUACCCAAAAAUAGGGGUCCAUCCAUCUAUGUGUUGAAUUGAGCUCUAAAAAAAUUAUUAUUGUUUUAAAAAGCAAAGGGUCAUAGUACAUGUUUAGACAAAGUUAAAUAUAAAAUUUACAUUGCUUUCCUUCCCUUUUAUCAAUACUAGCGUGUUGACCGGCACUUUUGGUCACCCGCAUUCUUAUUUUUUUGUUAUAGUAUGUAUAAUCUUCAUAUUAUAUUUAGUCCAUGAAUUGAACUAAGCAAACUUGACUAUUUAAUUUAUAGCAUCAUAUGAUAUUAUAAAAAGAAUAAUAUUAUGUUUAGUCCAUUUACUUGGUGAACAAGGACAAUAUGUACUACCCAAGAAAACUUUACUAUUUAUACUUAUAUUAAUUAAGAAAAGAAGAAGAAAUGGGUGCCAUAUAUUCUUCUAAGAAAUAUAUUUAUGAUCCAUCAUAUUUAUAGAGAAUAAUAUAUGUCAUAAAAUAAUAUUUUGUUUAUUAAUAACUAAUAAUUAUUUCUAUCACUUUCAAGAAUUAUAUAUUGAUUUGAUCCAAAUGUAUAUGAUUAGUACUAUUCAAAUAACUUGGAAAGCAAGUAGAACAUGAGACAAUAAAGUUCUUUGAAAAUUCACAUGAUGGAAUCUCUUGUAGCUUUUUAAACCUUGUCCACUAGUAGGAUAUGGACAGUUAAUCCGAGAUGUUAUCUUUAACUCAAAAAUAAGAUAUACUUAAUACUUUCAUAAUUAUUGUUUCACUUGAUAUUUUCAUAAUCACGAAUGUUAUAUAUGAUAACAAUAUUGUUCUACUUGUAAUCAUUCCUUAACAUUCUCAUCCUUUUUUCUUGUAUUGUUGUUAAACCUCAUUAUCUCAUAAGCUUUAAAUAUUCUAUUAAGUCUAAAUCACUAACUAGAUCUUAAUUUAGUGAUGUAAGGUUUCACUGGAUCCUCAUAUAUUGUACUUGACCAAAAAGAUAAAUGUUUGAUUUAUUAGAGCAAUAUUCUUUGAAAGGAACAAUCACACACUCUAAAAAAGAUUAGUUAUUUAUUCGUAGGAUGAUUUGAUACUCUAAAUUAUAAAAAAAAACUCUAAAUCAUAUUCCAAGGUGACAAAAUCUACAUAUUCUCUUAAAACUUGUAUGAAUAUGGGUGUAAUGAAGGAAUAAUUUCAAUAAUGCAUUCCCCUUGUAGUUUUUAACCAUUACUUACUUUUUAACCUUGUUGCAAGGUUACUCAUAAUCCUAUGGUACUUUUGGUAUAUGCUUUAUGAUAAUCAGAAGAUAGAUUGUACUGUAACUUAUAUGAGUUAAAUCGGAAGACAAGACAAAUUACCCUACAUGUUUAUUUUCUAUUUAUAAUUUCAUAAACACUCUAACACAAGACUUUACUAUAACGGCCAAAUUACUGGUCACCGAGAAAGAAUGUAUAUAUCAGAAUAAUUAGGCGGAUAUGACAUGAAAAAUAUAUUCAACCAUCAUAAAAUAUCAAUUUAAUAUGUCAUUUUUACACACAUACAUUUUAAACGAAUAAAAUGAGCAGCCCACAUGCAUUACUGAAAAUUACCAAUUUUUAUGAUAAUUGACUUUUGUUCUUAUUAAAUCUAUUUUUGUAUUUGACAUUUAGUCCAAUAGUUUAUAUUUACGAACUUCAUAUUUUUUGUAUUUGUCUGUGAUUACAACAGUUAUCAAACCACAUACAUGAGGACGUGGAUAGUUUAGCUUUAUCAAAUGUGUUGUUUAGAAGCAUCUGUUGUACAUUUUAUAUGGCAUUUUUUUUACUUUUGUGGUUUUAGACUUUGAGAUGGUCACUUUAUGUUUGUAGUUUUUUUAAUAUAGUAUGGUCCACAAUCAUGCUAUGCUCAUGUUUAGAGCAGACUUAAUAUAAAUAUUUCAUGUUUAAUUUUAAAAUAGAUAUACUCAUAUUCGUCAUGACUAAAGUGGGAUUACCUAGGUACGGAGAAAAAGAAUAUGAUAACCUUAAUUAACAAUACUAAUAGUAAUAUGUGAUUUCUUUUAUUGCUCCCUUUUUAACCAUAUAUAUAAUGGGACCAUCAUCCCAGUUUUAAGACUAUUAGCUUUCAUUUGGUUGAGGAAGAUAGGAGAAAGAGAAGGAGAAGAGAAAGUUCUUCUUUCUCUCCUUUAGUUGAGGAGAGAAUAUAAGAGGAGAGAGUAAAAGAGAAAGUGGGACCCACCAAAAUUUGUUCUUUUCUGAUAUGAAGAUAAAAUGAGGGAGGAAGAGUGAAAGAGUAAAAUCACUCAUUUCUCUUCUUUUUCUAUACAACCAAACAACACAAGAUUUCUCUCCUUUUCUCAUAUUUUUCUCUCUUUUCAAGUUCUUUAUCUAAUAUUUCUAUCUUCUUACUUUCUUCCAUCCAACCAAAUGAAGCAUUAAAUUCAGUCUUAACAAAAUUAGAGAAAGUCUUAAUGGCAAUGUCAGCGUGAGUAUGAUUGAGUACUUUAUUUUUAAGGCGGUGACAAUUAAAUAAUGAGUAAUGCUAUAAUAUCUUACUAAUUUUCUUACCUAUAAAAAAACAAUAUAUGUCAUUUGUAUAUUAAUCAUUAAUAAAUAAAAUAUCAACUUGUCAUAUGUGUCACUUUUUUAUGGAUCAGAAGAUUUAGUAGAAGAUAUAUCAUUUUCCUUAAAUGAUCACUAUUCUCGUAAGAUAUCACUUAAUUUAUAUUAAAUUUUUAUAUAUGUUAUAGUUUAUAAAUAUAUAGGUUAUAUUAUAUAGAACACUUAGAUAUAUUACCAUAUUAUAUGUUUUUAUAUAUAUUUUAAUUUGACGAUGGCAAUGGUACUGAUAUAACACUUCGAAAAUAAAAAAACAACGUUAUACAUAUUAAUUAAAUGUAUAAAUUUUUUCUUGAUAAGUAUAUGUUUUGGAACAUAUACAUAUCCAUUAUAUCCUUCUCAAAAACAAAAAAACUUCAUGAGAUGAGAUAGAGAGAGGAAAAAGGAUUCCGUUAUGCAGGAAAGGAUUUGGAGACGAAAAGGUGGAACUAGAGAGGAGGAUUAGGGAAAGUUCAACUAUUCUCAUAGAGGGAAAGCUCCACUUGGCAAAACAAAUGGGUAUUUCAAUUAUAUGCAAAAGAACAUUAUUACUUUCUUCUUCACCAAUAUACCAGACAUUCAUGGUAUUAAUGAAAUGUGGGGUUUUUUCUCUCUCAAAAUGGGGGAAUGUAGGAGAGGUUGUUAUUCCAUUGAAGAUGGAUAGGAGGGGUAACCGUUUUUGCUUUGUCAGAUUCAAGCAUCAAGAUAGGAUUGAGGAUAUGGAGAAAGCUUUGUCUAAUUUGUGGAUAUGAAAUUUUAAAAUUACUAUCAACAUGCCUAAGUUCAGCAGAGAAGGAAAUUCGUUAGCUAACAUGAUUUCUACAAAGAACCCCUAUCCUAAUCAGAUUGUGAGGCAUCAUCAGUAGAAUCAUGUGUUACCUAUGGCUGUCCAAAAGGGUUCUUCUUGGAAGGACAUUCUUCUCACCAUUAGGGGGGCUGGGACUUCAACGGUUAGUCCCAAAUUGACAGAGCUGAAAUUCAAUGUCUCUGAAGAACAUAUGCAAUGUUGCUACGAAAUAUUUGUGGGAGUGCUUAGAAAUUGUGAGGAUGGCCAAGAUGUUAAUAAUUUAUUGGCAUAUCGUGGUGUUUUAUCCAUUAAAGCUAUUCCUAUGGGAAGUAAGUUGGUAUUUCUUAAAGGAGCAAAUGGCUUAUACAUCCAACACUAUAUCAAUAAGGAGGAAGCUUGGUGCACAAAUCUUUUUAAAGAAAUAAGAAGAUGGUCACCUAGUGAGUUAGCCAAAGAUAGGGUGGUAUGGGUGAGAUGCUUUGGAAUUCCCAUGCAUGUAUGGUCUGAGGAGUUUUUCAAGUUGAUUGUUGAUGUUGUUGGUCAAUUUAUCAAGGUGAGUGAAGGAACUAAGCAUAUGGUUAGGCUGGAUGCAGGCUUUGUGUUGCUGGCCACAGAUUCUCAUAUCAAAAUUGAUUUGGCCCAAAAUGUGAAGAUGAGAGAGACCAUGUGGGAGAUUAGAUUGACUGAAAUUGACGGUGUCUUCGAAGAAUCAUUUGUGAAGAACAAAAGCACGUCUAAGGAGGAAGAUAGUGUUACCGACUCGGUGGAAUCGGAGGAUGGAGAGACUUGGUCGGGGGUGAACUCGAGGUGGGGAGGAGAUGAUGGCUCGGAGGAUGACGACGAUGACGUGGCCGUCCUUUCAACUGGGGCCCACAUUGUUCAAAAGUUGGGCAAUGAGAGAGAUGAUGGUGACAUAUCUUCUCAUCCUCUACAGUCUAACACUAUGAAGGAUGAAGACGCUAGCCAUUUGUUCUAGGGAAUGGAAAGGUUGAAGGUUCACAUAAGGAAAAGUGCUUUGGUGGGUGUUGUGCUGAAUGAAAGAAAUGACCUUGGAUAGAGGAAUGGAGGCUCACAAUCACUACAUUUGGUAGAAGCUUUUUCUAGGGGUGAAGUGGAAGACACGAUUUUGGUAUUGGAGGAGGCUAAGGAGGGAGAGGGUCUUUUAAGUGGUGUUGGGUCUAGGGCUCCGUGUUGUACUCGAUCUAGACCAACUUCUGUUUUUGAGUAGCUGACUUUGCAGUGCAAAAAAUCCCAUCUGGGCCUUGUGGGAGAAGCCUAUACAGACACUUUAAGUGGCCAAGAAAGAGAGUUGGUUUCUCCCAAUAAAAAAGGCAAAAUAAUUCUUUGUAUUGGCAUUAGUAAUCAUGCCAACAUGGAUUCUUUUUUCUGGAUCAUUCUUUGGACAACCCCAUUGAUGUUUUGAAAAGUAAAAAGGAUGGCUUGGUAAAGGGAUUUUAUUCUAAUUUGGCUAAGGAGAAAAACAUGGCUCAUAUGUCUAGUGAGGUUCAAGGCAAAGAUGUGGAAGUUUUAAAAUCUUCCAAUUAUCUUAAAGGUAGGAAGAAAAAAAAACAACCUCUUUUUUUUUUAAUCAUUCUAUUUGUAUGCUGAAUAAAGGAGGCUUAGGGUCAAAGUAAUUUUCGAAGAAGGUUGGAAGACCUAAGAAGAAGAUAGCUAAAAAAAUUGUUGAUGACAGUGUAGCCAAUCUAGAUGGAGAUCUUAAUAUUAGCAAAAAUCUGAGUUGUUCUAAGGUGACUGUUGAGGAGGGGGAGUUGGACCCAACUAGUAGUAAUUCCAUUGGUGACUCACAUGUUCGAAGUGCUAAUCUCCUUCACUUCAUAGAAGAGGAUUUGGUGGUGGAAAAAAUAUAGGAAAUAGGGAAAAGGGUAGGGGUGUCAUUCAGUAGUGAUGAAACAAUGAUGUUGGAAAGAAUUAAAGAGAUGGAGGAAGGGAUAAGGUUGGUUUUUCAAUUACCAACCGAAUGGAGCAAAAGGGUGAUCCAUGAACUAUGCAUCUAUGAAUGUUAGGGGGUUGGAGACUAGGCUUAAGAGAAUAUUCUUAAGAAGCCUAGUAGAGAAAAAUGAUAUCCAUUUUUUGGGUAUUCAAGAAACAAAAUGGGAGAAUUGCGAAACAGACUAUUGUUAUGAGCUUUGGGGUAAUUCAGGUUGUGAGUGGGAUUUUAUCCCAUCUAUUGGAUGUCCUGGAGGAAUUUUGAGAUUUUGGGAUAAAGCUAAAUUCUCAAGAUAGAGUUCUUACAAAGGAAACAAUUUUCUUGUAGUUGAAGGUGUAUGAUUCAGUUAGCUGGGAAUUCCUUGAUUAUAUGCUUGGCCGAUUCGGUUUUUCUAAUAGAUGGAGGAUGUGGAUUAAUGCUUGUUUGGUUUCAACAUCCGUGUCUGUGCUAAUUAAUGGCCCUCCUUCUGAUCAAUUUUCUGUGCCUAAGGGUAUCAGACAUGGUGAUCCUAUGGCGCCUGUUCUCUUUAUUUUGGUGGCAGAAGGUUUUGCUGGUUUGGUUAGAAAAGCUAGAUCUAUCGAUUUAUUUGAAGGGUACAAAGUGGGGAGAUUCGAGGUGGAGACUACUGACCUUCAGUUUGCAGAUGAUACUAUUCUGGUUUUCACCCCGGAAGAGAGCAACAUUUAGUGUGUUAAGAGUAUUCUGAGAUGUUUUGAGAUGGUUUAUGGAUUGAAGGUUAAUUUUAACAAAAGCUCCUUGAUUGGUAUUAGAGUUCCUAAUGGUCUUCUUUCAACAACAUCUACUUUCUUAUUUUGUAAAAUUGGUUCUAUCCCCUUCCUUUACCUUGGAAUUCUGGUAGGAGCUAAUCCAAGUAGAUAAUCGACAUGGCAAAAUGUUAUUGAGAAGGUGUCUUCUAGAUUGGCAGGUUGGAAAAGCAAACAUAUUUUCUUUUGUGGUAGAGUGGUACUAACUAAUUAGAUGCUCACGAAUAUGCCCAUUUACAUGUUAUCGUUGUUUAAGGCCCCAAAGAAGGUUACCCGAAAGCUGUUUUCUCUUUAGAGAAAUUUUCUGUGGAGUAACAAGAGUGGUGUUAGAGGUAUUCCUUGGAUUGCUUGGUCUGAAGUUUGUAAGCCCAAAACUCUCGGCGGUUUGGGGAUUAAGGAUAUUUUCAGGUUUAAUGAUGCUCUUCUGGAAAAGUGGAGGUGGAGAAGACUGACGGAUCCUGAUGCUUUGUGGGUUAGAGUGAUCGAUUCUAAGUAUGGAAAUCUUGGGGCUUUUAAUAGUAGCCCAACGGCGUCAAGAUGGUGGAGGGAUUUGGUUAAAAUUGGAUCGCUCUUGGGUGAUGGGUCUAACUGGUUGGAGGCCAAUCUCUGGAAGGAAAUUGGCGAUGGUCUAAAUACUAGAUUUUGGCAGGAUAUUUGGUUUGGUCAGCAAAACCUUAGUGAUUCAUUUCCGAGAUUGUUCUUGCUUGCUUUGGAGAAGGAUGCCAUGGUCGCAAAUUGUGGGGCUCAGACAAAUAGGGUGUGGUCUUGGAACAUUUAGUGGAUAAGACGUUUAUUUGACUGGGCGGAGGAUCUUGUAAGGAUCUUGUAAUAUCACUUUGCAAUCCAAUAAAUCUAUUGUAUACUAAGUAAUAUUGCUCUAUAGGUUUUGAAAACUUUGAAACAAUUACUUCAAGUAACUAAGAAAUACUCUCUUUUGAAAGUUUAAGAACUGAGUGCAAAAGUACAGAAAAAUAGUAAGAGAAUUUUUCAGAAUCGUGUGAGAGUUGUAUGAAAGUUGUGUAUGUGAUUAUGAGUUUCAAUGCCUUUAUAUAUGCUUUCCAACCGGCCAAAAUGCCUCUUUGAAAGGGUAGGAAUUGAUUGGAAUGAAACCAUGUCUUUUGGGUCGAAACUCAUUCACUUUGAAUUUGAAAAUCUGAUGCAACAACACUCAGUAACAGGUUACAACAUUGAGUAAUCGGUUACCCAACUGUUCUGUCCAACAGUGAAUUUAAAAUUCACUUUGAGUAAUCGGUUACUCAAGAACUUUGAAACUAGAGUAAUCUAUUACUCGAAGUUCAGUAAUGGAUUACUCAGAUCAAUUUUGUUGGGUAACUGGUUUAUCACUCAUGUAACCUUUUACUCAGAUUUCAGUAACUUGUUACACAUUAUUUUGAAAAUUGUUUUAUUUAAACUUUAAGUGUUUCAAUUUUUUUUCCAAUUAUUUUGAGCAAUACUACUAUUAUAUAUUCAAGAGUAUAUGAUAGAAGUAUCUAUUUAGACUUAGACUAAAUAUUUUGAAUAUCUUGAAGCUUAAAUCUUCAUUAUCUUCAUAAGUAUUCUUCAUUUUCUUCUUUUUGGUGAUGUUGAUGUCUUCAUUGAAAUCAUGUCAAGGUCAGGAGCAGAGAUCUUUACAAUAUUUGUCACCUAUAAAACAUGGUUAGGGCUUUGGAUGAGAAGUUAAUGAAAUGACAAUUUCUGGACAUGUGAGUUGGAAGAUAAAAAUCACACUAUUAUGAUGUUUGUUAUGGGAUUUAUAAUAAAAGGAAUAGGAUAAGAUAGUUGUUUAUGUAGAUUUAAUUAAUUAAAUAGUCAAUAUUACAUUAAUAUUUCUAGAAUGUUCUAAUGUUGUAAGAUGAUGAUACUUGUAGGGUCAUCACCAGAUCUUCAUUCUCUUUAAAUAUGUUAUUGUUCAUCCAUAAUCAAUCAAUGAAAUAUGAUCAUUUUCUUCUAGUAUUAUUUUUUUCUUAGGAGUAGAGUAAUUAAUAGAUAAAUUCCUUGAUAGGAGGAAUUUGUUCCCUAUCACACACCUAAAAAUGUUGCGGGACCAAAAUUGCACUCUUAGCCUUAAAUAAAUUGUGUUUGAGACCAUAUUAGUCGACAUAAACCUAUGCAUUCUCAUCAUAUUUAAUUUCUAAAUCAAACCACGUUAAUUUUAAUAAAAUUAAACCAAAUCAUUACACAUUAAAGCAAAUCAUAUGCAAGUGUGAAAUCAGAUUAAUGCAAAUUUACAAAUGCACUCCAUGCCUUUCUACCUGCAUUAAUAUUGCUUCUAUAUUUCUGUAACCUAUUUAAAGAAGAAUGUAUGUAACAAACUCAGAAAACAACAUAUUUUAAGAAAAUGGGUGUGAUAAUUUUGAUUGUAGGGUGUGUGGUCGGUUUGAUAAUCUUUUAUGUGAUUGUUUAUCUAGCUCUACGAGGGGGAUGAGGAUGAGGAAGAGGAUAGGAUGAGGAUGAGGAUGAGGGUGAGGACGAAGAUGAGGCUUAGUCUGACUCGUAUUUUAGGUAUUUCUUUUAUCACUUUGUCCUUAUGGGUGUUUUUAGUUUGAUGUAAUAUUUUUGGUAUUUUUUGCACAACAAUUUGAGCCUAUUUUGCAUUGAUUUGAAGCAUUAGACAAAUGUUUUAAAUUGUGGUCCACAUGAUAUGGUUGCAAUAUUAUUGUUGUGGUGACUGCCGUAAUUAUAUUAUAUGCAAUUACAUUGUGAUACCAGAUCACAAUGAUGCGAUUAUAAUGGACAACAUCACACUACAUUUGAGCCACAUCAGAUUGCAAUACAAUUACAUCGAACUGUAUCAAAUCAUAUUGAUACCAAAAAUAUUAAUUUAUUCACAAAAUAAUUUGCACUGCAAAAGCUGCAAUCCGUAUCAUAAUGACCUCAAUAGUUAUAAUCACAGUGAUUGUAAUCACAACCGCAACUACAAUUAAAAACAAAGAAAUAAACUCUUCAAAUGCAAGUGACAUAGAAUGCCAAAUAGGGAAAGAAGAAAUGAAAACCCAAAUGACCAAGGUAUNNNNNNNNNNNNNNNNNNNNNNNNNNNNNNNNNNNNNNNNNNNNNNNNNNNNNNNNNNNNNNNNNNNNNNNNNNNNNNNNNNNNNNNNNNNNNNNNNNNNUUACAAUAGGCUAGUUAAUUAUAUAGUUCGAACGAACGUAAGAAUAUUCUAUAAUAAAAAAGAACUAUUCUAUUAUCUAUAUCUAUAAUUCUAUACUAUUUAUAAAGCCAAAAUAUGGUGUAAAUUCCACCAUGGUGUAAUUUUCAUUUCCUAUUUUGCCCUUUAUAUUAUUUAAUUUUUACAAAAAACCAUAUAAUCCUAAUUAACCACCACCAACACAUUAAUUAACCACAUUUCUCACCUUAAACUAAAUAUUAUCAUAAACACAUAAAAAUUAUAAUAUAAAGUACACUGAAUACAAAAAAUAAAGUCUAAUUAGAAAAAAUAAAAUAUAUAAAAAUUAAAUACGUAGUAUCAUACAAUAUUGACUGGCUAGCACGAAGUGCCUGUACAUAUUAGUAUAUAUAAUUGAUUAACUUUACGAUAAAGAAGGUAAGAACUGUUGUUAUUGUGAGAAAUCAAAAUAAUUAAUAUAAAUUAUUGUAUCUUAUUUGAAGGGUAAAGAUUAAAAGAAAUGGUCAUAUAACUAAUAACGAGUUUUUAAUCUUAAUCACCCAUAUUAUACUCUUAGUGAUUAACUAGUUAAUUUCCUUGAUAUUCUAAUUAUCUAACUUCUAGAAAAUUCCAUAACAGAAUGAUAGAAAAAAAAAGGUUGAAGAUGAGAAUAUAGUAUCACUUUAUAUAUUAUGUUAAGUAUAUAUACACACCGAAAAAAAAGUAUACAUAUACACGGCCGCAAAGUAUAGAGUUAGUUUAGAAGUUUGAUUUUGGAGAGGAAGGAAGAGAAAAAGAAGACUUGGGAGCCAUGAAAUACACUUGUGAGAAGAUAUAUAAAGAAUGUUUUGACUUUGUUAUUUUAUAAAAUUAUAGAAGAAAUGAGAGCACAUCUCCUCUCACACAAAGUAAGUCACUCUAUGUAUCAUAAAUUAUGAUUGACCAGAAAAUAUUGAAUAGUUGAAAUUUUAACAGAUACAUUUUUCAACUUAUCACAAUUAAUGAUACAUGUGGUGACACAAUUUAUGAGACAAUGUCUGAUUACUGGGAUAUAUGUAAUUAUAUGUUAUCUACUAAACAAAAUUCUCAUAGUGAUGAUGGAAUUCAAACUAACAAUUUUAUUGACCAACUUUCAUUAUGUAAAAUAUGGGGAAUAUUGAAGACAUUGGUUAACAAGGAGAGAAAGAAAAGAAAUGGCGAAAUUUAUGAGAAAUGUUAUAAUCUCAUAAUUAAAGGGAUUGUGCUCAACUACUAUGUUUCUUUAUCAUGUUUGUAGAUUUUAGGGAUAUUAAUUAUAGGAAAUUCUUAUUCUUUGUUUCUUUAUCAUGUUUGUAGAAUUUAGGGAUAUUAACUAUAGGAAAUUCCUAUUCUUUAUUUCCUUUUAUAUUUAUCAACUCCUGCUUAUAUAUUGUACCUUUAACUCAUGAAUAAAAUUAAGAGAUGAAAUAAUAUCUCCAUACUCAACUCAUAUGGUAUAACAAGCCAAUUCUUCCCCUUUAGGUGAAAGCUCCUCAAUACUUCCUUAUGGAUGACACUGACACCUCUAUUACCCCUAGAAAUACUGAUAACCUAAAAAAAGCCAUCCUUCAUUGUUCCACCCCACAUCAAUGAUCUUGACCGUUCCAUCAAAAUAAUCAAACAUAAUUAAAUUGGUUAAAUUUAAGGGAUUAGUUUUAGUCACUCAUGUGAAGAAGAUCUUUGCUCCCAACCCUGGCACAGUUUUGAUGAAGACACAAACAUCACCAAAAAGAAGAAAAUGAAUAAUACUUAUGAAGGCAAAGAAGAUUAAAGUUUUAAGGUGAUUAGAUUAAGUCUCUAUAGGUACUUCUAUCCUAAAACUCUUAAAUAUACAAAGUAGUAAUGCUCAAACUAUUUUUAAAGAAAGUUGAAACACUUUAAAAUACUUAAAACAAUUUUCAAAAAUAGUGUGUAACGAGCUACUUCAUCUAAGUAACCGGUUACUUGUGUGAGAAAAUAGUUAUCCAACUUAAAACUAUUGUUACUUCAUCUAAGUAACAGGUUACGUGUGUGAGAAAAGAGUUAUCCAACUUAAAUCUGUUCAGAGUAAUCCAUUAUUGUCUUUGAGUAACAGAUUACCAUUUUUGAAAAGUUGAGUAACCGAUUACCCAGAUUGCUGUAAUCGAUUACUCUAAUUCGAUUUUAAAUGAACAGUGGACAGAGAGUUUAGGUAAUCGAUUACCCACUGUCAGUAAUCGAUUACUGAGAGAUGUUGCAUCAGAUUUCAGAUUUCAAAAUGAAAUGUUCUCACUCCAAACGAAAUUCUUCACUUCAAACAACUCCUACACUUUCAGAAAGGCACCAUGGGUGUUUGGAAAGUCUAUAUAAAGGCUCUAACUCUCACAACACAAACAAUACAAUAACACACAACUCUUAUACAAUUUCUCUACACUUUUUGCAAUUAGUCCUUAACUUUCAAAGAUGUUUUUCUGAAGUUGCUUAGAAGUGUUUCAAAGUUUUCCAAAAAGCAUUAUUACUUGGUAUACAUAAAGAGUUGAUUGGAUUGCAAGUUAUACUACUUUCAUACUUGUAAAGGCAAUCUGUCAUUGUUGUACAUUCUUCAAUAUUGUUGCAGAAUACUUUCUUUCACGAGGUGUGAAAAGAAAGGGGAUUAGAAUCACUUGGAAAGGUGUUUUCCAUGAGUGAAUAAGGAUUAGGGAGUGUGUAUGGUACAUAGAAAUAUCGGGGUGAGAUAUUGUAAUUACAACUCAUAAUUCUUAGUGAGAAGAAAUCUCUUGUGCUGCAAGAGUACUGGACGUAGCCUUCGGUGGACUAGAAGGUGAACCAGUAUAAGAAUCGUUGUAUAUUCUCUUCUCCCUUAUCUCUUUCAUUUUAUCUUGAUUAUUUUUCUGCAUAUAUUUUCCACUGGACGUUAACUCUUGAUUUUGCAGAAAAAGUGGUCAAAAUUUUUAAGUCAACUAAUUACCCCCUCUUAGUUGCAACCUCGUUCUUACAAUUGACACCAGAGCUAUAUUUGAGUAAGAUAUUCUCAAGUCUGAUCCUUUAUCAAGAUGGCCUCAAGAUCAUUCAUAGGAGAAUGUUCCAACAUCAACCGACCUCCAAGCUUUGUUGGAGAGUGCUAUGAUUUCUGGAAAAUUAGAAUGAGGAUCUUUAUUCUCAAGACUUGGACAAAUGGAAUGCCAUUGAAGAAUGACCAUAUAUACCCUUUACUGUUAUCAACAGUAUAAGGGAAAUAAAGCCAAAAUCUUAAUGGAAUGAUGAAGACAAAAAGAAGGUGCAAUAUGAUUUAAUGGCAAAGAACAUCCUCACCUCCGCAUUUGGUAUUGAUGAAUUCUUUAGAAUAUCAAAUUGUAAGUCUGCAAAAGAAAUGUGGGAUACUCUAGAGACCACACACGAAGGAACAGAGGAAGUAAAAAGUUCGAGACUCAACACUCUUUCCUAGGAAUACGAAAUGUUUCGUAUGAAGCCUGGAGAGAAAAUUCUUGAUUUACAAAAGAGGUUUACUCACCUUACCAAUCACCUUAUUGCACUUGGCAAAGUUCUAUCAAAUAGUGACUUAAACUUGAAAUUUCUUAGAUCACUCACCAGAACAUGGCAACCAAAGGUAACUACAAUUUCUGAAAAGAAAAGUUUAUCCAAAAUGUCUUUGGCUGCUUUGUUUGGAAAACUGCAGGAACAUGAACAAGAACUUAGCCAACUUGACCAAUAUGAGGAGCAAGAAAAGAAGAUGAAGAAUAUUUCUCUAAAAGCAAAAGUGGAUAGAUAUGACUCAUCUAGAGAUGAAUCAAAAAAAGAUGAUACGGAAGAUAUGAGUCUCUUCGUGAAGAACAAUGACGCCUCAACCUCAAAUCAAAAUUUUACAUGUUUUGAAUGUGGCAAACCUGGUCACAUGAAGAUGGACUGUCCAAAUUUCAAAAAGAGUUCUUUCAAAGGAAAAAAUGACAUAAAGACUGGACGAAGAUCAUACAUUACUUGGGAAGACAAUGAUAUCGGUUCUGCAUCUGAAACAGAAAAUGAAGAGCAAACACAUCUAUCACUUAUGGCAUCUCAUCAUUCUUAUGAUGAAGAGGUAAACAACUCUAAUCUAUUUUCUUCUUAUUCUGAUGAUGAAGAGGUAAACGACUCUAAUCUAUUUUCUUCUUCUGAACUUCAAUCUGCAUUUAAUGACUUGCAUGAUGAAUAUGUCAAAUUAAAAAAAAAUGUUUCUAAAACAAAAGUGUGAGUUAGAUACAUUUAGAAACAAACCUUCAUCAUCCUCUUGUUAAAACUGCAUCACUCUUGAAAACAAAGUAUCAACAUUAUGUAUUGAACUUAAUAAGCUAAACAAGCAUGGUAAAAGUUUAGAAAAGAUUAUUAUUAAUGAUCAAAAACACUCAACAUACCACAUAGGUCUUGGCUAUUCAAAAAACCAUGUUUUUAAGAAACCAAGUGUCCAAAAGAGAAUAAUCUUUCAAAAGAAAAGUAUCCAUGCAUUUGAAAAAUCUCGGAUACACAUUCAUCAACCCAUAUGCACAUACUAUAAAAUUCAUGGGCAUACACCGAACACAUGUAUGAUUAGAAAAUAUGGUGUACCCUUAGGAAAAUUUAGAUGGGUGGAGGAAGGUUCUAACCACCUAGGAUCCAAAGAAUAUUGGAUACCUAACAAAACUUAAUUUGUUUUGUAGGAAAAAUUGAGAGCCGCCUGCAAUUUAUGGUACUUGGAUAGCAGCUGCUCAAAACACAUGAAGGGCGAUAAAAGUAAAUUAUUUGUCCUGACUUCAAGGGACAAAGGAUAUGUCACAUAUGGUGAUAACAACAAAGGCAAAAAUUAUUGGAGUUGGUAGAAUUGGAAAGCCACCAUCAACAACUAUAGAAGGUGUACUAUAUGUUGAAGGACUCAAGCACAACCUUCUAAGCAUAAGUCAAUUAUGCGACAAAAGAUUUCAUGUGGCGUUCUACCCAAAUAAGUGCAUCAUUGAAAGUAAGGAUUAUAAUAAUUCUAAACUUAUUGGUAAGAGAAUAAAUAAUAUCUAUAUGAUUGAGAUGGAUUCUGCUUUACCUAUAACAUGUUUAGUAGCUAAUGAUAAUCAUGAUGCAUGGCUUUGGCAUAGAAGAAUUGCUCAUAUUCACAUGGAACAUUUGAAUAAACUCAUUAAGAAAGAUUUAGUUGUUGGUUUACUCAAAAGGAAGUUUGUUAAAAACAAACUAUGUAGUGCUUGUCAAAUGGGUAAACAAACAAAAACCUCUUUCAAACCAAAGCACAUGGUUUCUUCUGAUAGACCAUUACAAUUACUUCAUAUGGAUUUAUUUGGUCCCUCAAGGACAAAACAUUUUGGUGGUAAUUAUUAUGCUCUUGGUAUAGUGGACGAUUUUUCUAGAUAUACUUGGACUCUAUUCUUAGUUCAUAAGAAUGAGGUAUUCAAAGCCUUUAUCAUUUAUGCUAAAAGAGUUCAGAAUGAGAAAUCUCUAAAAAUUGUUGUUAUACAAAGUGAUCACGGGGAAGAAUUUCAAAACUCUUCUUUUGAGGAAUUCUGUGAUGAUCUUGGGAUCAACCACAAUUUGUCUGCUCCUAGAACACCUCAACAAAAUGGUGUUGUAGAGANNNNNNNNNNNNNNNNNNNNNNNNNNNNNNNNNNNNNNNNNNNNNNNNNNNNNNNNNNNNNNNNNNNNNNNNNNNNNNNNNNNNNNNNNNNNNNNNNNNNAUGUGAUAUCUUGUGAUGAAGACGACUUGCCAAGUUCCCUUGCUAAAGAAAAUUCUAUUGUUGAUAUUACAACUGAACCUGAAGAAUUGAGAAUGGAUGAUAAUCUAUCUUCUCGAGAAGAGCAUAUUCACUCAAAUCUACCAAAAGAAUGGAGAACUCAUCGAAAUCAUCCUAUUGACAACAUCAUCAAUGAUAUAAGUAAAGGUAUAGCUACUCAUAGAAUGCUUGAUGCUUAUCUAAACAUGGCCUUCGUCUCUCAAAAUUUAAAAAGGGUUUCAAAAUUUAUUGAUUUUUAUUGUUUGUUUUCCUUAAUUACCCAAAAAUAGGGGUCCAUCCAUCUAUGUAUUGAAUUGAGCUCUAAAAAAAUUAUUAUUGUUUUAAAAGGCAAAGGGUCAUAGUACAUGUUUAGACAAAGUUAAAUAUAAAAUUUACAUUGCUUUCCUUCCCUUAUUAGUAAUAUAAUAUAAUUGCGAUCACAAUGCACUAAAUUCCAAAUACAACAUAUUACAUGAUAUCUUCUUUAUUUGUCAACUUGUGCUACACAUCAAACUUGUUAAUCUAGGCACAACCUGAUCCUGAUUAUUUGUCAUCUUGGUCCUUGCUUUAAGGCUUCAAUCUCUACUAAAUGAAGCAUAGCUUAGUUAGCACUAAUGAAGCAUAGUAGAUGCAAAUUAUUACCCAUUACAAGCGUGCGGGAUUAGAGUUAAUAGGGAAAUAAGAAACCACAAUUGGUGCCCCCUUUGAUUUUGAUUUGCUCUUUGGUUUCUCUAAAGAUUGUGAUUUCAAUUGAGAUCCUUGUGAGUCUAUGACUUGGGAUGAUGAGGAUAAGGAGGGAGCAAAACAAUUGAAGAAGAAUGACAAUAGAGACUUUUGGUAUAUUGACUUUUUCUUCUUCUUCUUUAUAGGGGUUAUUAAUUGUGGUAUGAGUUACUUAAGGAAAAAGAAGAAAUGAUUGUAAUGAAAACAAAGGCAAUAGUGUGUGGUGAACUUAGACUUUGAAGUAGGGAUUAUAUUUGUAAGUGAACAAAACUGAAAUGAUAGAGUUGUAAUGGCGGCUU